CCAGAACUGCUGAGACCCAGCAGCAAUUUCUGUUCUUAUACAUUGUAGAUGUUUGACUUUGAGGCGUCAAAGGGUGAGCUACAUGCAUCAGAACUCCUGGUUUCUGACCGGUCUGUGUCAUCACAGAUGAAAUGGUGAAUCUACAUUUUGAGGUCUCAGUCACUUCUGAAAGCUUGAGCUUGAAGUUGAAAUAUUUUCCUGAAAGUGAGAGAGGGACUGUGUGCCUUUGCUUCCGCAUAUGGCAAGAGUACGAGAAAAUGAGAUUUUUCUGAUUACACAAUUUUAUAUGCUCUAUGAACCUUUCAGGAAAUAAAUGAAAAGGAAAUAUGGAAGGUUAAUUGUUAGGGAAAGUGAAAGAAGGACUGAGUUCAGAGGAGGCAGAGGGAGAGAGAGACUUCAAUCAACAAAGUAGAAAUGAAACUGGUAUCGAAGAGAUCAAGAGGAACAAAAGUCAAGAUGGGGAGAGAGGAAGAAGGAGAAAUAAAUCUCAUCUCUGCAGAUAACUGAAACUGCAAGGAAUAUAACAAGACCAGCAGCACUGCUAUAAAUGAUACUAGUGUUAAAGCUGGGUAGCUCUUUCAGGAGCUAGUACAGACACGAUGGGUCAAAUGGCCCCCUUCUGUACUGUAAAAUUCUAUGAUUUAAACUCUGUCCUGCUCACACAAUUGCACAACAAAGAUGCAGCAAAGGUAUUGGAAAUAACAGUUUCACAUUAACAAAUGCAAUAACAAAACAUGCAAAUAUUAGGUCAUAUGAGUAUUAGAGCCCAGUUUGAGGGUUCUGAAAUCACUCUACACAGGUGGUUUCCUGUCACCAAAUCACCUUUAUUUGCCAAUGAAUAGCCCUUGACUGUAGUACUGCCUCAUACAGAGUCAGCUACUGGAAUGUUCACACAGGUAUUUCUCCUAUAAUGCAAUAGUUGUGUUGUUAUGUGAUGUUGCAGCAUAGGAAAUCGCAUUAUAGGGAAAUCGCCGUACUGUACAGUAGAAAGUUUGCGUUAGUCAAACAGCAUCCGCUAUUCAUCAACCGCAUGACAGCCAAUUCGCGUUAACAAAACACACAUUAUAGCCGAAAUACCUGGAUCCCUGACACUCAGCUUUUUAUCUGUCGGCCAGGGCUCCCUGAUUUGAGCAGAUGAACAGACCCAAUCAAGAAACUCUUAUUCUAUGAGGUCCGGCUGGCUGAACUCAUUACAAUCACUACAGGUUUCUUCACUCAAUAGUUAAAAUUCAGGCCAGUCCAGGGGCUGCAAACAGGACAUGCAGAACUCCCUCAAAGUUGAAAAUAUUGCAGCAAUAUGUUAUUUGAAGAUAGCGACAGCAAUAUGUUAUUUGAAGAUAGCGAAUCAGUGUGAUUUUUAGUUAAAUGCAAGGCUUUAUGAAGACUUAAGUUUCCAGUCUGGUCUAGCUGUUAGCCUAGAGUCCUGCCAACUGCUGCUGGUUUCAUAGCAGACUGGCUUAAGGGUUUGUAAGUGCAGUAUUAAAACUCUUCUAAGUACAGGCGCAUUUUGGAUCCUUGCCCAUUGAUGAGUCAUUUAGGCUAGCAACUGAAUUUCCAUCCUUCUGGUUACAAUCCAUUGAGCACUUUAGGAGAUCGA